ensembl:lncRNA
AGAGCUUCUGUGGAAACAUCAGAACACUCAGAGACCCUGGAAUCUGGUUUAGACCAAUGAAGUCCAGAGCUGCCACGGAAACAUCAGAACACUCAGAGACCCUGGAAUCUGGUUUAGACCAAUGAAGUCCAGAGCUUCUGUGGAAACAUAAGAACACACAGAGACCCUGGAAUCUGUCCUCAGCCAGUGAAGUCCAGAGCUGUGGCUGAAACCUCAGAGCACCCAGAGGAGGAUGUGGAGAGGCAGCCGCAGUGAGCUCACCAAAGACAGGUGGACUUGUGCUUGUGUCCCAGUCUGACCCAUCUUCUGCCUCUUCCCUGACUGCCAUUCCAUUCAUGUUUUAUUUCCGGAACAUUCUCCAGAGUGUGCUCAUGUUACUGUCAUAUCCUUUUGUUUUAAAGCAGUCACACACACACACACACACACACACACACACACACACACACACACACACACACACACACACACACACACACACACACACACACACACACACACACACACCUAGCAUCUGUCAGAGAGCUGAAUCAUUCUGUCAGUUUGUCAUGGUUGGCAGUGUGCAUUAAUCCCUGCUCUGUUCAGGGCGAUGGGUUUCUGUCGAACCAUGCAAGACUUUGAGCUCUUAAACUGCCGUCUCACUGCCCUCUCAUUCUCUCUGUCAUAUUCGGGCGUCUGCUUUUCUUCCGUUUCAAAAAGCCGGCCGUCAGCGUUUCCAAGAAAGUGGAAUGGCGUUCUCUAACUUGGCCAGCUGAUACCUUUUGUCAGAGUGAUUAAUUUUCUUCCGAAACACCCAGCGGUCUGGACAGCGUCUGUUUUGAUAGCUUAAUUUCCAUUUAUUUUAUUUAUUGAUAUAAUCCAAAACAGCUUUUUUAAUCAAGAGUUACGCUGACACAUUCGGGAAUCAGAAAUGCCUUUCUCACACAACAAGCAUGCGUUGGAGGAUGUUCUCAGGAUUCUUGGGUUGAAAUUGCUGUGGUUCACAGCAUGUUUUCUCUCAGACAUCGUGUGUGUGUGUGUGUGUGUGUGUGUGUGUGUGUGUGUUUGUUUGUUUAGAGUGUGUGUGUGUGUGUGUCUGUCUGUGUCACUGUCAUGUGUGCUAUUGUUAUUUAUCCAUCGUGAGUUAUUUGUUGUUUUUGACAGAUUUUGCCUUAAGUAACUGUUUACAUCUUCCCUGCUUACCUCUCCAAACAAUACAGCUCUGUUUGAAAUUAAGUGGGAAAAAUAUGUUUUGGUUAAAUAAUAAAAAAAAAGGCACAAUGUUUGAUAAUAAGUUACUGCUGGAGUGUUUGAAUGGAAUCUGUUGUGAGUUUCUAGUCCAGGUCUGAGUUGUAUAAGGCAAGUGUAUAAGGCAGUGUGUGGAUAUGAGAUGAAGUGUAUAAGGCAGUGUGUGAAUAUGAGUCGAAGUGUAUAAGGCAAUGUGUUGAUAUGAGUCUUCAAAACAACAGAUUCUCAUCUUUACCACUUCAGACUAAAUUUGUGUAUGAGGUCAAACAGCGUUAAAGAGGCCUGUCAUUAGAGUAACCUAGGCAAGCUGCAUAGAUGUUUUCAGAUCCUACCGUAAGGUGAAAGGUCACACAUGAACUUGUAAUGGCACUUCCCCUGAAGUGUGCUUGAGGUACCGUGUUAUGUGUUCACAUGAGGUAGAAGCAGGGUUCAGGUAGGUAGGUGGGGAUCUGGGCGAAAAACCAACCCACUGGUAAAUCUUCCCUCCCUUUUGGAUUAAUGAUGAUAAUACGUCUACGUUUUUGGUUAAUCAUGAACAGACUUGGUAGACCAUACCCCUUUGAUUUCUUUUUUUAAUGAAUCAACCACCAGGUGGAAGUGUGUUCAACGGGACGUCCAAAAUGUCAACACUUACACACCUUUCGUCCACCUUUCCCAUACAUCAUCACACACAAUGAUUUCCUCAAGAGACUCUUGGUUAUCGGAUGGAAUGAAAUACUUUUACUUGAAUGACUUCUGAAAGAAAGAGCAUACUGGACGUGUUUAGGGUGGACGAGUUUCCAUCUGUCUGCCAUUAUUUCACCCCGAAGAUCAGUCAGUGGACAUGUUGGUUGUUCUUAGACUACAGAACCUGCAGGGUGGAACCCUGGCGACUUGCUUUUGUGCACAUCUUCCUCAAACAGCCUUAAGGCCAGAGUUUAUUUUGUGUUUUUGUGCUUGUUUAAACAAGAGGAUUAAAGAAUAAAGAACAUAUCUAUCAUCAACACAGUGGUUUGGUUACGUUGGCUUUUGUCUUUCAGCCCUUUUGGGGCUUUUUCUCUCUCUGGUGAACCAUUAAUACAGACCAAACUGAAACACGUG